rnacentral:misc_RNA from 1 species
GAUGAAGAACGUAGCGAAAUGCGAUAAGUAAUGCGAAUUGCAGAAUUCAGUGAAUCAUCGAAUCUUUGAACGCACAUUGCGCCCGCCAGUACUCUGGCGGGCAUGCCUGUCUGAGCGUCAUUUCAACCCUCGCGCCCGGCUUCUGUCGGGGGUGGUGUUGGGGAUCGGCCUCCCGUCUUCCGGGCGGCCGGCCCCUAAAUGGAGUGGCGACCGCGCCGUAGCCUCCUCUGCGUAGUAGUGAAACACUCGCGGGCGGAGAGCGGUGCGGCCCGCCGUAAAACCCCCAACUCUUCUAAGGUUGACCUCAGAUCAGGUAGGAAUACCCGCUGAACUUAAGCAUAUCAAUAAGCGGAGGA